rnacentral:miRNA from 10 species
UGACCAACCGUCCUCGUUUGCCUGGGACUGAGGGGGUUCCCAGGCUGUGAGA